UCAGGACGAACGCUGGCGGCGUGCCUAAUACAUGCAAGUCGAACGGUCUUUCUAUGGAAGCUUGCUUCCACUGAGAAGAUAGUGGCGAACGGGUGAGUAACACGUGGGUAACCUGCCCAUAAGAGGGGGAUAACAUCCGGAAACGGGUGCUAAUACCGCAUAGUUUUCUUGAUCGCAUGAUUGAGAAAGGAAAGACGGCCUUUGUGCUGUCGCUUAUGGAUGGACCCGCGGCGUAUUAGUUAGUUGGUGAGGUAAUGGCUCACCAAGACGAUGAUACGUAGCCGACCUGAGAGGGUGAUCGGCCACAUUGGGACUGAGACACGGCCCAAACUCCUACGGGAGGCAGCAGUAGGGAAUCUUCCGCAAUGGACGAAAGUCUGACGGAGCAACGCCGCGUGAGUGAAAGAAGGUUUUCGGAUCGUAAAACUCUGUUGUCAGAGAAGAACAAGUUGGAGAGUAACUGCUCCAGCCUUGACGGUAUCUGACCAGAAAGCCACGGCUAACUACGUGCCAGCCGCGGC
rnacentral:rRNA from 1 species